GGAUCAAUGACAGGGCCGUUCUUCUGGUGGUCCCCACCACAAGACAUGCUCGUCGUAUCCGACUCGUGAUGAUCAUUGUGGCCAGCAGCAAUGACUCUUUCAUCGUCGAAGUCACAUAACUGCAAAUUUCGCAGUGCUCUGUGCUCUGUUUUCCUGGAAAGUACGUUAAGUUGAUUCAUCCGCUCAUUUUGUCAAAUCCUUCGUUCUUCACAAAGUGAUCUUUUGUUAAAGACAACGUUAAGCAAUUUACAAUCUGCGAAUACAGUUUGUUCGUAUUUACGUUCUUCAUAGUGGCUUUUGGUUGUUUGAUCGCAUUGCGCAUCUAAAAAUUAAAAAAAAAAAAAAAAAAAAAAAAACACUUCUCUGUCCUGCGUGCAAGGCAUCAUCCAACGGCUUUGAAAUCUCCAGAGAGGAAAAAAGAUGACGAGCAUUGGAGAAAGUGCUGCGACAAGUAUUUUCCAGAGAUUAAUGGAUAAAACCAUCAAGGAGGCUAGGUAUUUUCUUGAUUUUGAUUAUCACGUUCAUAACUUUGUGAUAGAAAACAACAGUUUGGCUGCAAAGCAGAAAAAAGUACUAAAAGAUAUUGAAGAUGCCCAACGAAAUGAGAACCAAAUUGAAGAUGAAGUUCAAAAUUGGAUCGAGGAAGCUGAUAAUCUAAUUCAAAAGAACACUAAAAUCAAGCAAACAUGGUCUUAUGGUUGGUGUCCUUAUUGGAAAUACCAGCAAGGGAAGAGUUUGGCAAAGAGGACGGUAAUCAUUAAAGAUCACAUCCAAAGAUAUAACUUUGAAAGAGUGGCUCGUCCAGGUGAACUUCCAGGUAUGAAGUACCACGCUUCAAAAGACUACAUUGACUUUGAGAGUAGAAAGU